UUAAAAAGCUCGUAGUUGGAUUUCUGUCGAGGAUGACCGGCCCGCACUUUGUGCGUGCAUCUGGUUCAGCCUUGGCAUCCUCCUGGGGAACGUAUCUGCGCUUAAUUGCGUGGUGCGGUAUUCAGGACUUUUACUUUGAGAAAAUUAGAGUGUUCACGGCAGGCAAUCGCCUUGAAUACAUUAGCAUGGAAUAAUAAUAUAGGACCUUGGUCCCAUUUUGUUGGUUUCUGGAACUAAGGUAAUGAUUAAUAGGGAUAAUUGGGGGCAUUCGUAUUAACGUGUCAGAGGUGGAAUUCUUGGAUUACGUUACGACGAACUACUGCGAAAGCAUUUGCCAAGGAUGUUUUCAUUGAUCAAGAA
rnacentral:rRNA from 1 species